rnacentral:rRNA from 1 species
GAUGAACGCUAGCUACAGGCUUAACACAUGCAAGUCGAGGGGUAACGAGAGGAAAGCUUGCUUUCCUUGUCGACGACCGGCGCACGGGUGAGUAACGCGUAUCCAACCUGCCCCCAACUAAGGAAUAACCUUGCGAAAGUAAGACUAAUACCUUAUAAUUUCCUCAGAUGUCAUCUGACGAGGAAUAAAGAUUUAUCGGUUGUGGAUGGGGAUGCGUCUGAUUAGCUUGUUGGCGGGGUAACGGCCCACCAAGGCAACGAUCAGUAGGGGUUAUGAGAGGAAGGUGCCCCACAGUGGGACUGAGACACGGUCCAAACUCCUACGGGAGGCAGCAGUGAGGAAUAUUAGUCAAUGGGCGGAAGCCUGAACCAGCCAAGUAGCGUGCAGGAUGACGGCCCUAUGGGUUGUAAACUGCUUUUAUACAGGAAUAAAGUUAGCCACGUGUGGUUAUUUGUAGGUACUGUAUGAAUAGGGACCGGCUAAUUCCGUGCCAGCCGCCGCGGUAA